UGAGUAAGGGCGUGCGGUGGAUGCCUUGACUGAAGAAGGCGAUGAAGGACGCGGCUUAGCUGCGAUACGCUUCGGGGAGGUGCUAUGCAACCAGCGAUCCGGAGAUUUCCGAAUGGGGAAACCCCAUCGAGUUAACCCUCGGUGAUUCUCUACUUAAACGAUAGAGAAAGCAGACCUCGGGAAGUGAAACAUCUCAGUACCGAGAGGAAAAGAGAACAAUAGUUAUUCCCUUAGUAGCGGCGAGCGAAACGGGAGGAGCCCAAACUCAGCCACAAUGUAGUUCUGCGAAGCAAUUCGUAGGGCGACAUUGGGGAUGGGGGUUAUAAGACUACGGCGUGUACGCGAAAGCGUACGUAGAGUUAAAAAAUGCUUAGUUAGAGGAAUGCGCUGGAAAGCGCGGCCCUAGAGGGUAAUGGCCCCGUACUCGAAAACGAAGCAUCUCUAUGGCUGUAGUUCUUGAGUAGCUCGAGACAUGAAUAGCUCGGGUGAAUUUGCCAGGACUAACUGGUAAGGCUACAUACUUCUUCAGAUCGAUAGUGAACAAGUACCGUGAGGGAAAGGUGAAAAGAACCCCGGUGAGGGGAGUGAAAUAGACCUGAAACCGCAUGCCUACAAGGAGUCAGAGCGGGCAGCAAUGUCCGUCAUGGCGUGCCUAUUGAAGAAUGAGCCAACGAGUUGAUGCAUACGGCUUGGCUAAGGCCUUAUCGGCUGGAGCCGCAGCGAAAGCGAGUGUUAAUAGCGCGUAAGCCCAGCACUAACUUUGGCCUUGCUAUGAUUGGGGCAUGUACUACAUGUAUGUGCUUGAAGAUGAUAGCGGGGAAUUAUAUUUCGGUUCAACGAAUGAUUUAAAGCGACGGCUUUCCGAGCAUCGCCGCGGUCAUUCUCGAACGACAAAAGGCAGGAGAAUGUCAUUGGUCUACUAUGAAGCGUAUCGUGCGGAAGCCGAUGCGCGGCGAAGAGAAGACCAGAUGAAACUGCACGGUCAAGCGAAACGACAACUGAAAGAUCGUAUUCGUGAAAGCCGUCGAGGCCAAAGUUAGUGCUGGGUCGUCGUAUGUAUCAGACCCGAAGCAACGUGAGCUACCCAUGAGCAGGCUGAACGUUCUCGAAAGAGAACGGGAGGGCCGAACCCAUAGAUUGUACAACAUCUCGGGAUGACUUGUGGGUUGGAGUGAAAAGCUUAUCGAACGUUGUAAUAGCUGGUUCUCUCCGAAAGAGCUUUCGGGCUUGCGUCGCAUGUUCCCUUUGGGGGUAGAGCACUGGAAGGUUUCGACAGGUCGAAAGACCGCGAAACCUAUCAAACUCCGAAUACCAGAGGUUAGAGUGCGGCAGUUAGACUACGGGGGCGAAGCUCCGUUGGUCAAAAGGGAAACAGCCCAGAUCGCAAGCUAAGGUCCCUAAAUUUACGCUAAGUGCAAUGAAGGAGGUGAGAUUUCUUAGACAGUGAGGAUGUUGGCUUAGAAGCAGCCACCAUUCAAAGAAAGCGUAACAGCUCACUCACUUAGAGGUCUCGCGCCAAAAAUGAUCGGGGCUAAGCGUAGUACCGAAGCUGCGGAUUUAAUAUGUCUUCGGACAUAAUAAGUGGUAGGAGAGCGUUCCAAUCUGCGAUGAAGGUAAAGGGGAGACCCAUACUGGAGCGUUUGGAAGUGAAAAUGUUGGCACGAGUAACCGCAAUGCGAGUGAGAUUCUCGCACGCCGAAAGAUCAAGGUU
rnacentral:rRNA from 1 species